UACGUAGGGGGCAAGCGUUGUCCGGAUUUAUUGGGCGUAAAGAGCGUGUAGGCGGCCUGAAAGGUCAGCUGUGAAAACUCGAGGCUCAACCUCGAGACGUCGGUUGAAACCAUCUGGCUAGAGUCCGGAAGAGGAGUGUGGAAUUCCUGGUGUAGCGGUGAAAUGCGCAGAUAUCAGGAAGAACACCCGUGGCUAAGGCGGCUCUCUAGUACGGUACUGACGCUGAGACGCGAAAGCGUGGGGAGCGAACAGG
rnacentral:rRNA from 1 species